rnacentral:rRNA from 1 species
UACGUAGGGUGCGAGCGUUAAUCGGAAUUACUGGGCGUAAAGUGUGCGCAGGCGGCCGAGCAAGUCGAGUGUGAAAGCCCCGAGCUUAACUUGGGAACUGCGCUCGAAACUACUUGGCUAGAGUGUGGCAGAGGGAGGUGGAAUUCCACGUGUAGCGGUGAAAUGCGUAGAGAUGUGGAGGAACACCGAUGGCGAAGGCAGCCUCCUGGGCCAACACUGACGCUCAUGCACGAAAGUGUGGGGAUCAAACAGG